GCCGGGUUGGCAGAGCGGUCAAUUGCACUUGACUGUAAAUCAAGCGCCCUCGUGGCUUCGGAGGUUCGAAUCCUUCACCCGGCACCA
rnacentral:tRNA from 1 species